CAUAGCAAACUCCAGUCACUCUCAUGACUGACUAGUCCGUUUCACUUGUGUGAUGUAAAUUGUACAACAAACUCUCAUCUACACCUUUGAUUCUCUCUGCUGCAUCCUUUUUUUGCAUUCCUCUCAAAUCUGAUAGCUAAAUAGUUCGAUUCUCCAAUCCAGAGAACAGUUCAAUUCGUUUCUGCCGCUAAUUGUUGGUUUUGGUAAAUGCGGAAUGGUGUGGUCGGUGAAUUUCCCGACGCCGACAUCGAGAAGCAGCAGAACGGCAGGUCAAUAUCAGGACUUGGCUAAGAAAGUAGUGAUUGACGUGGUGGUCGUGGACUGCGCCAGCAUAAGUCAAUCACUGCCCGAGAGAGAUUCGAAUACUCAUGAAGAGUGCAGGGUAUGCCAGGAGGAAAAUGAAGAAGCCUUGAUCAGUCUUGGAUGUCUUUGUCGAGGCGGUCUUUCAAAAGCACAUCAUUCGUGCAUAGUGAAGUGGUUUAACACCCAAGGUUCGAAUAAAUGUGAGAUAUGCCAGUUAAGUGUCCGAAAUUUAAGAGGUGAUUUUAGCUUUAUCUAUGACGGAUGAUAAUGAGCCUCCAUAAUUCUCAUGUAGGCAAGAAGCUGCCAACGUAAUACCUCCUGAUCCUCAAGCAAGUGUCGGUCAAAUUUAGAAUUAGAUGUUUAAGAUUUUGAUAUGGAAUUCUGAUUGAUAUGCAUACACUCUCUUCCCUACUUUUGUACUUGUUGUGAUUGCAUUCAUGAUGCAUACUCAAUUCUUAAAGGAAUCACAGUUUGAAUAGGUUAUUGAACUCUAGGAUAUUGGUUAAAAUCUUAGUAUUUGUGAAAUUAAUACUAUGUUUUGCUUAGUUAGGCAAAGGGAAAUUGCCAGUCAUUAUACGGCUUUGCAGAAGAACAUUACCACUGAAGCUGUCAUAAUUUAUGUUUUUGUCUAGUUACUGGGUUUGGACGGUUGAUCCAGCCUUUAGAGCGCAAGAUCAUCAAAGGGGGUGUUUUAAGUCCGCUUUGGGUGGCGUUCUCCAUUCUUGUUGGUGGUCUUUUGCUGGAUGUGUUGAUUUCCGUAACCCUUGGUGUUUCUGCCCUCCCAGUUAACAUUAUCAUUGGAGUGAUCGUUGUGCUGGGACUUGGCACAGCUCUUCGACUGGGGCUAGAGUUUUGUCAAGAGUGAAAUGUGAGAAGAGUGGUGCAGCGGGUAGAAGCAAACGCCACUAUUGGGUAUCAUCCGGCACUGUAAGCCAGACUUUUCCCUGCAUAUUUUAUGAGCGGAUGUGUUGUUGUGUUGUAAGUUAAGAAAAAAAAGGAUCUAGCUUUAUUCACUAAGUCAGGCGAUAGAAAGUGGAAACUAGUAGUUAGGAGGUUCAUCGAGAGAUCUUUAUUUCAUCUUGCUUCCACUGCUGACUUGCUGUAUAUAUUCAUUUUAUUGUCGUUGAUUCAUUGUAAAUGCUCACUGAAUAUGUAGUUGUACUCACAUUUUAGGUUAUCACUUGCCGAGAGGAUCGAUUUCAAAAGGUUCACAGUUAUAAUUUACGGACUGUAUAUAAUGACAUAGCUUCGUUUAUAGUUGUUGAACGUAUGAGGA